rnacentral:rRNA from 1 species
UACGGGGGGAGCAAGCGUUGUUCGGAUUUACUGGGCGUAAAGGGCGCGUAGGCGGCCUGCACAAGUCCAGGGGGAAAGCCCUCGGCUCAACCGAGGAAUGGCCUUGGAUACUGUGCGGCUUGAGUAUUGGAGAGGAAAGCGGAAUUCCCAGUGUGGCGGUGAAAUGCGUAGAUAUUGGGAGGAACACCUGUGGCGAAGGCGGCUUUCUGGACAAUCACUGACGCUGAGGCGCGAAAGCUAGGGGAGCAAACGGG